CUCACCCACACCAUUCUCAUUUCUCCAAUCAGAUAUCGUUGUUGUCUCCGAGCGCCAUUGUCGUAUUCUUUGCCGCCGUCUUCUGUGCUCGUCUUGCCGCCAUCUCUUGAGGUCUCGUCAGCGUCGUCUUCUCCGGUCUCGGCGCCGUCUCUCGAAGUCUCGUCACCAUCUUCUUCUGAAAUCUCGGUGUCGUCCCUUACGUCGUUGAGAUCUUGGCGUCGUCUUUUGUCUUCAGAUAUCUUGGCGCCAUCUUCUUCGUCUUCAAGCAGAUUCUUAACUGGAAACCUUCUCAAUGGAUUAGUGCCUUCAUGGACGAGUGAUGCUACCAGCUUGAUGAAUUUAAGAAUGCUAUAAAAUAGGCUAUGCAAAAAGCAUCUGAAGUAGGAAGUAAUGUAUCAAAUGAGAUGGAUGUGUGGUGUGAAAUAGCCAGAGUUAAAAAGGGAAGAAUUUAUGGACUUGGAAUAGAAUCCACUGCAAUUGACAAAGGACCUAGUUAUCGUGGCUCCAUUUCUCAGUCAUCAGAUUGGUUGCGAAGGUCAAAACAUGAAGAAAUAAUGAAGAAAAUGCAAGAAGAGAACGAUGAUUUGAAAACUAGGUUGGAAAAGACAGAAAGAGGACUUGAACUCAAUAACCGUAUGCUUUAAGAAAUGAUGAAAAAGCUUAAUUUUAAAAUUCCGAUUCCUCAACUAGAAGGUGGAGAAACAAAUAUAGGAGAGCAUGAAGAUGGUGAAUGUACGUCUAAAGAGUGAUUAGUAGUUUGACACAGUUCACCAGGUGAGGAAUCUUGAAAGAGUAUAUUUUAAAAUAUGAAAUCUACAUUGCUCUAGUCAACAUCCCCAACAUUUCAAGGUCACCGAAAAUCAUCUUCAAUAUCCUUAUGAAAGAUAGAUAGAUAUAGGUGUUAGACGAGAAUGUAUAUAAGAAAAUCGAGAAAAAGUAGAUCGAUAUUUUACUUGCUAUGUUGAUGAAUCUGAGUGUAAUUCUGUUAAUUGAUGUAAUUAGUAAUAUGAAGAGUGUUGUUUAUUUUGUGUUAUGUUAUUUUGGUUAUUGUUUAAGUGUUGUUUAUUUUGUGUUAUUAUUAUUGUUGUCUAUGUUAUUUUGGUUAUUGUUUACUUUUAUGUUGUUUACUUUUCAAUAUUUGAUGGCCUAAAUGUAAAAAUUUAGUAAAUAUUAUAAUUAAAAAAAUUAGGAUCAGCCAUGAAAAUUUGGUUACUAAAAUGCUUGGUUGCUAACUAGCGACCGAUUUAGCGACUGAAAUGUUGGUUGCUAAAAUACAAGUCCACACUUAGCGACCGAUUUAGCGACAAAAAUAACGGUCGCAGAUUAGAGACCGAAACACUGGUCACAAAUUAGCGACCGAUUUAGCGACUGAAAAGUCACUAUUUAGCGACCAAUUUACUCAGAGACCGCUUUAGUAACGAAAAUUUUGGUCACAAAUUAGCGACCGAUUUUGUUAGCGACCGAUACUCUUUGGUGAGGGUUUGAUGGCCUCGUUAACAAAUCGGUCGCUAACAUUUAGCGAAUGAAGUUGGUCGCUAUUUUCUUAUUAGCGACCAUAGUUUUAGCGACCACCCAAAUCAGUCAAAAAAUCGGUCGCUAAAUCAGUCGCUAUUCAGGUAAUUUCUUGUAGUGAUGUACCACUUACUUUAAAUAUAUCAUAUUGAUAAGUUUAUUUUUUUGUAUUGUAUUUUAUUUGAACUAAUAUGAGAUU